AGGAGAGUUUGAUCCUGGCUCAGGAUGAACGCUAGCUACAGGCUUAACACAUGCAAGUCGAGGGGCAGCAUGGGAGUUGCUUGCAAUUCCCGAUGGCGACCGGCGCACGGGUGAGUAACGCGUAUCCAACCUUCCCCUGACUCCGGAAUAGCCCGGUGAAAACCGGAUUAAUGCCGGAUGCGGUCCGGAGAGGACAUCUGACCUGGACCAAAGGCUUGCCGGUCAGGGAUGGGGAUGCGUCUGAUUAGGUUGUUGGCGGGGUAACGGCCCACCAAGCCAUCGAUCAGUAGGGGUUCUGAGAGGAAGGUCCCCCACAUUGGAACUGAGACACGGUCCAAACUCCUACGGGAGGCAGCAGUGAGGAAUAUUGGUCAAUGGGCGAGAGCCUGAACCAGCCAAGUAGCGUGGAGGAUGACGGCCCUACGGGUUGUAAACUCCUUUUAUCAGGGGAUAAAGUCCGCUACGUGUAGCGGUUUGCAGGUACCUGAUGAAUAAGGACCGGCUAAUUCCGUGCCAGCAGCCGCGGUAAUACGGAAGGUCCGGGCGUUAUCCGGAUUUAUUGGGUUUAAAGGGAGCGCAGACGGGCUGUUAAGCGUGACGUGAAAUCCGGGGGCUCAACCUUCGGCUGCGUCGCGAACUGGCGGCCUUGAGUGGACGGUAGGCAGGCGGAAUUCGUGGUGUAGCGGUGAAAUGCUUAGAUAUCACGAAGAACCCCGAUUGCGAAGGCAGCUUGCCGCAGUCUUACUGACGUUCAUGCUCGAAGGUGCGGGUAUCGAACAGGAUUAGAUACCCUGGUAGUCCCCU
rnacentral:rRNA from 1 species